rnacentral:rRNA from 1 species
AUGACGGUCUUGAGUUGGAACUGUCGGGGUCUAGGGCAACCCCGGACAGUUCAGGAACUAGUGUGCCUUGUGCACACCUACAAGCCCAAGCUUGUGUUCCUAUCUGAGACACGGCAAAGCAAUUCAUACGUCAAUAAGUUAAAGUGGAGGCUUGGCCUUAAGCAUUGUAUCACGCAGCCCGGCAUAGGUAAAGGUGUGGGUAUUGCGCUCUUCUAUGAUGAAAGUGUCGAAGUAAAAAAGCUUGCGGUUGGCCCGAGGUAUAUUGAUGUGUUGGUUCGUUUGAAUGCGUCUAGCAUGCAAUGGAGGUGUACUUUUGUAUACGUUGAACCGAGAGCAAGUGAUAGGCAUCACAUGUGGGAAUUGCUAAGGAGGAUCAAGAGUAAUUCAAGUGCCCCUUGGCUGAUGUUGGGAGAUUUUUUAAUGAAAAUGUGGCAGUCAGAACAUUUCUCAACCUCAAAUAGAUCAGAGCGACUCAUGGAGAACUUCCGCAAUAUCCUGUCAGACUGUAACCUGUUUGAGCUGGGAUACAAAGGUCCUGGCUGGACCUACAAUAACAAGCAAGAUGGAGUCAAGAACGUCCGAGCCAGACUGGAUCGAGGGGUGGCCAGCCCAGAGUGGUCGGACUAUUUUAGGAGAGCCACGGUGGAACACAUAUGUUCGUCAAGGUCAGAUCACUUGCCACUACUUGUUCGUCUUGGUCAAAGGAAGGAAUGGCGACCAAAGGGAGAAGGAAAAGAGAAGGUCUUUAGGUAUGAACAUAUGUGGGAGCGAGCCGGCUCUUUGCAGGACACCAUUGACAGUUCAUGGAAAAAAGGAGGACCGGCAGCGAUCCUUCAGAAAGUUACAGAGAAGAUUGCUAGCAUGCAGAAAGAUCUUAGGCAAUGGGCUGAUAAGGAUUUUGGCUCGGUCAUAAAACAGACAUCAGAAAUUAGGAAUAAACUCGGCAUUCUUUGGAGGUCUCCCUACUCAGUAGAUCAACAGAAUUCAAUCAAAAAGUGCUCGACAGAGUUGGAUGAGCUACUUCUCAGGGAAGAACUCAUGUGGAGGCAAAGGUCUAGAGCUACCUAUUUGAGAGAAGGGGACCGGAAUACCAAGUGGUUUCAGAGUAAGGCCGCGUGGAGAAAGAAGAAAAAUGACAUCACAAAACUGAAGGAUAGUUCGGGAGUGUGGAAGGAGGAUAGGAAGGAGAUUCAGGAGAUGACGAGGGAGUUCUUCCGAGUGUUGUAUAAAAGGAGAAUGAGGUAUUCCCACAUGAAAUACUGA